GACAUGGUCCUGCCACCCGCAGGGAGGCUGACAGCCCCGUGAGACCCCUGACCCUGUGCUCUGCCUGGGAGAUCUGACUCUGACUGGCCACAUGCGUCUGUCUCUCCUGGCCAGGCUGCUGCUUCCUAGCUGCUGAUCUCUUCAGUCUUUCACCUCUGAAAUAUGUAAGGCCAGGCUGAAACCUGUGUGAUCUUUUGCUGAAGAUUAAGAUCACCAACUGAAAUAGAUGGUAAAAAUAUGUGGGACGAGAAGAAGGAAAACAUUCUCAUCUGCUUCCCCAAACUUUUAAUAAAAGGUCCUGGCGACAAAUAA